CAGUAGUUUGUUUUAUAUUCCACAACACCACCACAACAACAAACAAACAAACCAAAGGUGAACGAAAAGAACCCAUCCUUACCAGCGAAGUAUUAGAAAUAAAUUGCCAUGGAGAAUGCUACCUGGUUGCCUACCUAUGUAAAAUCAAAGAAGGAUAGUUGUGCAAUUACGCUGAAGGACAUCGUUUACACAACUAUCGAAGUUAGUUAAUACGAACAAUUUUCGCAUGACUUAAGAAGCAUUACUUUAUCGCAGGACGAAUAUUGUAAAGAUUGGCAAGAAAGACUUUUAGCAAAUAUUAUUCAGAAAUAAAGAAACAGUUUUGCUUUUUUUCCCUAAUUCUAGAGGAGCACGAAAAACAACUUUUCGAUGUAAAUUCGGAACUAGACAAUAAAAAGCAAAACUGAGACACCAUUUUAGUACUAAAUUGGACUAGAUUUAAAUAAUGUGAUUUUUAUGCGAUAAGUUUAAUGGCCUGCCAAUGUUCAGACUCGAGAGACGGACUUGAAAAAAAGUGUUCGGUAUUUUUUUCCUAGUUUAUUAUUUUAUGACAAGA